rnacentral:misc_RNA from 1 species
GGCAAGAUUAAAAUAUAAGAAACGCAGAUUGUUGGUUAACAUCAGGAUGUGGACAAAUUUCUAAGCUAAUAAGUAACAACGCAACUCUACUCUGUAGCUCAAUAAUAAAUGAACUUUCCAUAAAUUUAGAUCGAAACUAUCGUAACUGCUCUUCCAAAUAAAAAAUUGAAAAAAGAAGAAAUCGUUGAAAGGAAAUAUUCCAAGAAAAAGCCAAAUCA